rnacentral:rRNA from 1 species
ACGGGUGAGUAACGCGUGGGAAUCUACCCAACCCUACGGAAUAACGCAUGGAAACGUGUGCUAAUACCGUAUACGCCCUACGGGGGAAAGAUUUAUCGGGGAUGGAUGAGCCCGCGUUGGAUUAGCUAGUUGGUGGGGUAAAGGCCUACCAAGGCGACGAUCCAUAGCUGGUCUGAGAGGAUGAUCAGCCACAUUGGGACUGAGACACGGCCCAAACUCCUACGGGAGGCAGCAGUGGGGAAUAUUGGACAAUGGGCGCAAGCCUGAUCCAGCCAUGCCGCGUGAGUGAUGAAGGCCUUAGGGUUGUAAAGCUCUUUCAACGGUGAAGAUAAUGACGGUAACCGUAGAAGAAGCCCCGGCUAACUUCGUGCCAGCAGCCGCGGUAAUACGAAGGGGGCUAGCGUUGUUCGGAAUUACUGGGCGUAAAGCGCACGUAGGCGGACUUUUAAGUCAGGGGUGAAAUCCCAGGGCUCAACCCUGGAACUGCCUUUGAUACUGGAAGUCUGGAGUAUGGAAGAGGUGAGUGGAAUUCCGAGU